CGCGUGAGUGAAGAAGGGUUUCGGCUCGUAAAACUCUGUUGUUAAAGAAGAACAUAUCUGAGAGUAACUGUUCAGGUAUUGACGGUAUUUAACCAGAAAGCCACGGCUAACUACGUGCCAGCAGCCGCGGUAAUACGUAGGUGGCAAGCGUUGUCCGGAUUUAUUGGGCGUAAAGCGAGCGCAGGCGGUUUUUUAAGUCUGAUGUGAAAGCCUUCGGCUCAACCGAAGAAGUGCAUCGGAAACUGGGAAACUUGAGUGCAGAAGAGGACAGUGGAACUCCAUGUGUAGCGGUGAAAUGCGUAGAUAUAUGGAAGAACACCAGUGGCGAAGGCGGCUGUCUGGUCUGUAACUGACGCUGAGGCUCGAAAGUAUGGGUAGCAAACAGGAUUAGAUACCCUGGUAGUCCAUACCGUAAACGAUGAAUGCUAAGUGUUGGAGGGUUUCCGCCCUUCAGUGCUGCAGCUAACGCAUUAAGCAUUCCGCCUGGGGAGUACGGCCGCAAGGCUGAAACUCAAAGGAAUUGACGGGGGCCCGCACAAGCGGUGGAGCAUGUGGUUUAAUUCGAAGCUACGCGAAGAACCUUACCAGGUCUUGACAUACUAUGCAAAUCUAAGAGAUUAGACGUUCCCUUCGGGGACAUGGAUACAGGUGGUGCAUGGUUGUCGUCAGCUCGUGUCGUGAGAUGUUGGGUUAAGUCCCGCAACGAGCGCAACCCUUAUUAUCAGUUGCCAGCAUUAAGUUGGGCACUCUGGUGAGACUGCCGGUGACAAACCGGAGGAAGGUGGGGAUGACGUCAAAUCAUCAUGCCCCUUAUGACCUGGGCUACACACGUGCUACAAUGGAUGGUACAACGAGUUGCGAACUCGCGAGAGUAAGCUAAUCUCUUAAAGCCAUUCUCAGUUCGGAUUGUAGGCUGCAACUCGCCUACAUGAAGUCGGAAUCGCUAGUAAUCGCGGAUCAGCAUGCCGCGGUGAAUACGUUCCCGGGCCUUGUACACACCGCCCGUCACACCAUGAGAGUUUGUAACACCCAAAGUCGGUGGGGUAACCUUUUAGGA
rnacentral:rRNA from 2 species